UUUUAAAGGGGAAAAACCCUUCAAGUCUUGACAUAUCCCGGAACAAGGAUGUAAUGUGCAGUUUCUUUUGGGACAUCCAUGACAGGUGGUGCAUGGUUGUCGUCAGCUCGUGUCGUGAGAUGUUGGGUUAAGUCCCGCAACGAGCGCAACCCUUAUCUUUAGUAGCCAGCAGUUAGGCUGGGCACUCUAGAGAGACUGCCGGGGAUAACCCGGAGGAAGGUGGGGAUGACGUCAAAUCAUCAUGCCCCUUAUGACCUGGGCUACACACGUGCUACAAAUGGCGUAAACAAAAGGGAAGCGAAGCCGUGAGGGUGAGCAGAUCUCAAAAAUAACGCUCAGUUCGGAUUGUAGUCUGCGGAUUCGACUUACCAUGAAGCUGGAAUCGCUAGUAAUCGCAAUCAGAC
rnacentral:rRNA from 1 species